rnacentral:rRNA from 1 species
UGCCAGCAGCCGCGGUAAUACGGAGGGUGCGAGCGUUGUUCGGAAUUACUGGGCGUAAAGCGCACGUAGGCGGCGUAUCAAGUCAGGUGUGAAAGCCCUCGGCUCAACCGAGGAAUUGCGCUUGAAACUGAUAUGCUUGAGUGUCGGGGAGGAAAGUAGAAUUCCCGGUGUAGAGGUGAAAUUCAUAGAUAUCGGGAGGAAUACCUGAGGCGAAAGCAACUUUCUAAACGAAUACUGACGCUGAGGUGCGAAAGCAUGGGGAGCAAACAGGAUUAGAUA